GAUGAACGCUAGCGGCAGGCCUAAUACAUGCAAGCUGAACGGUAAAUAUUGUAGCAAUACGAUAUGAGAGUAGCGUAAGGGUGCGUAACACGUAUGCAAUCUGCCCUGUACAGGGGGAUA
rnacentral:rRNA from 1 species